rnacentral:rRNA from 1 species
UACAGAGGGCUCAAGCGUUGUUCGGAUUCAUUGGGCUUAAAGCGCGUGUAGGCGGCUCGGCCAGUCUGCUCUGAAAGUCCAAGGCUCAACCUUGGGAUGCGGGUGGAUACUGCCGGGCUCGAGUCCGGAAGAGGCGAGUGGAAUUCCUGGUGUAGCGGUGAAAUGCGCAGAUAUCAGGAGGAACACCAAUGGCGAAGGCGGGGCGCUGGGACGUGACUGACGCUGAGACGCGAAAGCGUGGGGAGCAAACAGG